UUCUUAUCAAGAGAGGUGGAGGGACUGGCCCGAUGAAUCCUCAGCAACCAGCCGAAUUGGCCAGGUGCUAAAUCCAGCAAACUUUCGAGUUUGGAAGAUAAGAA
rfam:Bacillus smithii strain DSM 4216, complete genome.